rfam:Capsicum annuum cultivar Zunla-1 chromosome 11, whole genome shotgun sequence
UAAUGAUGGUGAAGGCAAUUUCUAAGCAUUCCCUUAAAUCUGUCCCAAGCUCAAUAAAGAUUUUCUAUUUUUUUCUACCUAAAACUCAGAAUCUCACUUCACAAGCG